AUGCCGUGGUGUGGGCAUGCUGCUGUGUACUCCAGAAAACGUUCCCAGGCUUCCAUUCGUCCUGGAGUUGUUGAAAACUGGAAAUUCUAUUCCGAAGAGCAU